CAGUUGUUUCCUUCAAGACUUUCUGUAGGAUCCGAACAUUGGCAGGCGACCCACCAUUUUUUUGAAUAUGCUGGCGACGACUCUUUCUCCUUCAACAUUAGGGUUUCAUCACUCGAGUUUAAGGUUGGAUAAUCCAUUACUUGCCGGGUAUGACCCAUGGAUUUGUAACAAUCAAUCAUGCUUUCCAACAUGCAAGAUCCGGUUUCUCACGGGUCAUCCAACCAGAUAUUUGAAAAUCAUAUGCAGCAGUUAAAACUCUGCAUAAUUUCAGGCUCCAUUAUCUCCAAUUUCAAAAAUCAUUUAAGCGGGCUUCCUGCAUACAUUCUAAGGCACGUCUAGCAAAGCUUCAAUCAGAAUUACCAGUUCCUCGAUAAUGGAUAAUGGUCGUAAGCGUAACCCUCUGGGUUCUGUUUCUCCUUCAUCCGCAAGAAUCGAUGAGCAUGAUUGAUCAUGAAUACCUGUUUAUGAUCUAGCAAUUUGUUUACUGAUUCUUGGUGUUGGCAGGUCAACGUAGACCAUAUUCACAAAAUGAUCAGCCUCAUACACGCGAAAAUUUGGAUCCGAACAUAAUAUCUGUUCCAAGGCAGGCAUCGGAUAUUAGCAGAAAAGGUAGUGUGACAUGGGCCCGUCCUUUGCCCACGGGACUUCCAAGCCUUGAUCGUCCAUAGCCUAACAGCGGUUAUUGUUUUUGUUUGGGAUGUAUCAAUGUUCCAAUAUUACACAAGAUAUUCAUCUUCUUAUUCAUCUGCUAAUGAGAGAAAUUUGAUGCGUGAAAAUGCUCAUCCGAAUACAGCGGCAAGGAUACAACAACAUAUUGAUGCAUAAUCACACGAUAUUGUACUCUCGUGUUAGACUUUAUAGUAAUUAAUUUCUUAUCUUAUUUUUCUGAUGAAUAUGGUGGAAUGCAUUAUGUUCAGGAAAAUGAAGAUGGAGUAUCUUCAUUAAUAUCUCAUUAUAUUCCAGCGAGCCUAAAGCCUGGAGCAACUAUUGGCCGAAAAUUAUUAGCAAACCCUCCAAAGAUUCUUAACUUGCACGUUCCCGGGCCACCUGGUAAAUUCUUUAGUAUUAUCAAUACUCUCCUUAUUAAGUUGAAUAUGUCAUAAUUUUUGCGCUUGGAAAAGCAGAACUGUUUUUA